UAGUGGCGAACGGGUGAGUAACACGUGGGCAAUCUGCCCUUCACUCUGGGACAAGCCCUGGAAACGGGGUCUAAUACCGGAUAAUACCUUCCUCUGCAUGGGGGAGGGUUGAAAGCUCCGGCGGUGAAGGAUGAGCCCGCGGCCUAUCAGCUUGUUGGUGGGGUGAUGGCCUACCAAGGCGACGACGGGUAGCCGGCCUGAGAGGGCGACCGGCCACACUGGGACUGAGACACGGCCCAGACUCCUACGGGAGGCAGCAGUGGGGAAUAUUGCACAAUGGGCGAAAGCCUGAUGCAGCGACGCCGCGUGAGGGAUGACGGCCUUCGGGUUGUAAACCUCUUUCAGCAGGGAAGAAGCGAGAGUGACGGUACCUGCAGAAGAAGCGCCGGCUAACUACGUGCCAGCAGCCGCGGUAAUACGUAGGGCGCAAGCGUUGUCCGGAAUUAUUGGGCGUAAAGAGCUCGUAGGCGGCUUGUCACGUCGGAUGUGAAAGCCCGGGGCUUAACCCCGGGUCUGC
rnacentral:rRNA from 1 species